GGGGGAUAAGCUUCAUUGUCGAGAGGGAAACAGCCCAGAUCACCGAUUAAGGCCCCUAAAUAAUUGCUAAGUGAUAAAGGAUGUAAAAUUACAUAGACAACCAGGAGGUUCGCUUAGAAGCAGCUACCCUUUAAAAAGUGCGUAAUAGCUUACUGGUCAAGUGAUUAUGCGCCGAAAAUGAACGGGGCUAAGCAAUUUGCCGAAGUCGUGGGUAAAUACAGUAGAAGAGCGUUCUGUAAUAGUUAGAAGUAAUAGUGAAAACAGUUAUGGACUAAACAGAAGUGAGAAUGUCAGCUUAAGUAACGAAAACAUUGGUGGAAAUCCAAUGCCCCGUAAACCUAAGGUUUCCUUAGCCAGGUUCGUCCACUAAGGGUUAGUCAGAUCCUAAAGCAAGGUUAAAAUACGUAGCUGAUGGAUAACAGGUUAAUAUUCCUGUACUAUUGUUUAUUUAAUUACGAGUGACGAAAAAAGCUAUAUCUGCCAAUAAUUGGUUUUUGGUUUAAUGUUUCAAGGUUUUUGGAUAAUAAAAAAAAGUUAUCUUAGCUGAGAACAAAAUACGAUAUAAUACUACGGUAUUAGAAGUGAUAAAAGUUAUGUUUCCAAGAAAAACUCUAGUAGUGUGUAAUAAAUAAUAUCUGUACCGUAAACUGACACAGGUAGGUUAGUAGAGCAUACUAAGGGGCGCGAGAUAACUCUCUCUAAGGAACUCGGCAAAAUAACCCCGUAACUUCGGGAGAAGGGGUGCCUUAAUUUAUUUUAAGGUCGCAGUGAUCAGGUCCAAGCGACUGUUUACCAAAAACACAGGUCUCCGCUAAGUUGAAAAACGAUGUAUGGGGGCUGACGCCUGCCCAGUGCCGGAAGGUUAAAGAAAUUGGUUAGAGUAAUCGAAGCUAGUGACUGAAGCCCUGGUGAACGGCGGUCAUAACUAUAAUGAUCCUAAGGUAGCGAAAUUCCUUGUCGGGUAAGUUCCGACCUGCACGAAAGGCGUAACGAUUUGGACACUGUCUCGGGGAGAGACUCGGUGAAAUAGAAUUGACUGUGAAGAUGCGGUCUACUUGUACUUGGACAGAAAGACCCUAUGAAGCUUUACUGUAACUUGAUAUUGAUUUUGGGCUUUCUUUGCGCAGAAUAGGUGGGAGGCUUUGAUUCUCUUUUUCGGAAGCAGAUGAGCCAAAAUUUGAGAUACCACUCUUAGAAGGUUAGAAAUCUAAUUUUAUUUUUAAACAAAAUAAUUGACAAUAUCAGGCGGGCAGUUUUACUGGGGCGGUAGCCUCCUAAAAGGUAACGGAGGCGCACAAAGGUUUUCUCAGUCUAGACGGAAAUUAGUUGUAGAGUGUAAAGACAUAAGAAAGCUUGACUGUAAGACUUAUAAGUCAAACAGAGACGAAAGUCGGUCUUAGUGACCCGACGGUGCUGAGUGGAAAGGCCGUCGUUCAACAGAUAAAAGUUACUCUAGGGAUAACAGGCUGAUCUCCCCCAAGAGUUCAUAUCGACGGGGAGGUUUGGCACCUCGAUGUCGGCUCAUCGCAACCUGGGGCGGUAGUACGUCCCAAGGGUUGGGCUGUUCGCCCAUUAAAGCGGUACGUGAGCUGGGUUCAGAACGUCGAGAGACAGUUCGGUCCAUAUCCGGUAUAAGCGUUAGAGUAUUGAAGGGAACUUUCCUUAGUACGAGAGGACCGGGAAGGACACACCUCUGGUGUACCAGUUUUUGCGCCAGCAGAAA
rnacentral:rRNA from 1 species